UGGGGAAUCUUGCGCAAUGGACGAAAGUCUGACGCAGCGACGCCGCGUGGGCGACGAAGGCCUUCGGGUUGUAAAGCCCUGUGGGGAGGGACGAACACGUUCUGGGCGAACAGGCCAGGACGCUGACGGUACCUCCUUAGCAAGCACCGGCUAACUCUGUGCCAGCAGCCGCGGUAAUACAGAGGGUGCAAACGUUGCUCGGAAUUACUGGGCGUAAAGCGCGUGUAGGCGGUCUCGCAAGUCAGGUGUGAAAGCCCAGGGCUCAACCCUGGAAGUGCACAUGAUACUACGAGGCUUGAGUACUGAAGAGGAGAGCGGAAUUCCCGGUGUAGAGGUGAAAUUCGUAGAUAUCGGGAGGAACACCAGUGGCGAAGGCGGCUCUCUGGGCAGAUACUGACGCUGAGACGCGAAAGCAUGGGGAGCAAACAGG
rnacentral:rRNA from 1 species